rnacentral:rRNA from 1 species
AACGAACGCUGGCGGCAUGCCUAACACAUGCAAGUCGAACGAGACCUUCGGGUCUAGUGGCGCACGGGUGCGUAACGCGUGGGAACCUUCCCUUAGGUUCGGAAUAACUCCCCGAAAGGGGUGCUAAUACCGGAUAAUGUCUUCGGACCAAAGAUUUAUCGCCUUUGGAUGUGCCCGCGUUGGAUUAGCUAGUUGGUAGGGUAAAAGCAUACCAAGGCGACGAUCCAUAGCUGGUCUGAGAGGAUGAUCAGCCACACUGGGACUGAGACACGGCCCAGACUCCUACGGGAGGCAGCAGUGGGGAAUAGUGGACAAUGGGCGAAAGCCUGAUCCAGCAAUGACGCGUGAGUGAUGAAGGCAUUAGGGUUGUAAAGCUCUUUUACCCGGGAUGAUAAUGACAGUACCGGGAGAAUAAGCUCCGGCUAACUCCGUG